CACAUGUUUGGACGUGCAGGCACGACACAUGCAAGGGUGGACAAAUCUGCCUUUGUGACGGGACACGCAGCAAGUGGUCAGAACUGAUGAGAAGAUAAGUGGAUGGGAAGAAAUGGAGCAAAAGACAAUCCUGGAAGAAGACCUGUUACAGGCAGUAAAAGUGCUGAAGCCGGGGUAGAGGUUUCCCUUCCAGCAGGACAAGGACUCUAAACACACAGCCAGAGCUCCACAGAUACUCCUCAUUUAAUAUCAAGUCUUUGCUAUCAACUACAAAGAGGAAUGGGAAAGUAUUUUGCUUCUAGACUUGCAAAGGUGCCAGAAAUUAACCCCUCAAAAACUACUUUGUGUUGGCAUAGAAUCCUAAUAAAAUGUUUGGAAAUUUGUGGCUGUAACGUGACAAAAUGUGAAAAAGUUCAAGUGGGCAUGAAUAGUUUUGCCAGGCACCGUAGUUUCUUGUAGUCAAAAAGAGUUCAAUGUUGCACAUAAUUUAUUUUGAAAACAAGUUGCACCUGUUGAUGUCCACAUAUAUAUUGAAGUAUGCUUUUUAUUUUAUUUUUAUAGUGUCCUAUAAUGGUGAAUGAGAGAAACCUCUUCACUCACGGUUAUCAGAGUGCCAUACUACAUUUGAAAGAAUAAAAUGACAAUUUCUGUCUUA